rnacentral:rRNA from 1 species
UGGGGAAUAUUGCGCAAUGGAGGCAACUCUGACGCAGCCAUGCCGCGUGUGUGAAGAAGGCCCUCGGGUUGUAAAGCACUUUCAAUUGGGAGAAAAAGCUUGUCGUUAAUAGCGGCAAGCCUUGAUGUUACCUUUAGAAGAAGCACCGGCUAACUCCGUGCCAGCAGCCGCGGUAAUACGGAGGGUGCGAGCGUUAAUCGGAAUUACUGGGCGUAAAGCGCGCGUAGGCGGUUGCUUAAGUCGGAUGUGAAAGCCCCGGGCUCAACCUGGGAACUGCAUUCGAUACUGGGCGACUAGAGUACGAGAGAGGGAGGUAGAAUUCCACGUGUAGCGGUGAAAUGCGUAGAUAUGUGGAGGAAUACCGGUGGCGAAGGCGGCCUCCUGGCUCGAUACUGACGCUGAGGUGCGAAAAGCGUGGGGAGCAAAACAGGAUUAGAUACCCUGGUAGUCCACGCCGUAAACGAUGUCUACUAGCCGUUGGGGUACUUGAGACCUUAGUGGCGCAGCUAACGCACUAAGUAGACCGCCUGGGAGUACGGCCGCAAGGUUAAAACUC